UACAGAGGUCUCAAGCGUUGUUCGGAUUCAUUGGGCGUAAAGGGUGCGUAGGCGGUUCGGUAAGUCGGGUGUGAAACCUCCAGGCUCAACCUGGAGUCGCCACUCGAUACUGCUGUGACUAGAGUCCGGUAGGGGAGCGUGGAAUUCCUGGUGUAGCGGUGAAAUGCGCAGAUAUCAGGAGGAACACCUGCGGCGAAGGCGGGUUGCUGGGCCGACACUGACGCUGAGGCGCGAAAGCUAGGGGAGCGAACGGG
rnacentral:rRNA from 1 species